rnacentral:tRNA from 1 species
GCCCAGGUGGCGGAAUUGGUAGACGCGCUAGCUUCAGGUGCUAGUGUCCUUAUGGAUGUGGAGGUUCAAGUCCUCUUCUGGGCACCA